AUUGAACGCUGGCGGCAGGCCUAACACAUGCAAGUCGAACGAGUGGCGGACGGGUGAGUAAUGUCUGGGAAACUGCCUGAUGGAGGGGGAUAACUACUGGAAACGGUAGCUAAUACCGCAUACCAUCGGAUGUGCCCAGAUUGGAUUAGCUAGUAGGUGGGGUAAAGGCUCAACUAGGCGACGAUCCCUAGCUGGUCUGAGAGGAUGACGGGCCACACUGGAACUGAAACACGGUCCAGACUCCUACGGGGGGCAGCAGUGGGGAAUAUUGCACAAGGGGGGAAAGCCUGAGACAGCCAUGCCGCGUGUAUGAGGAGGGCCUUCGGGUUGUAAAGUACUUUCAGCGGGGAGACGUUACCCGAAGAGGAAGCACCGGCUAACGCCGUGCCAGCAGCCGCGGUAAUAC
rnacentral:rRNA from 1 species